GGCCUCGUGGCCCAAUGGCAAGGCGUCUGACUACGAUAGACUUCAAUCAGCAAUUGAACUUUCUACGAUAAUCAGGAGAUUCUGGGUUCGACCCCCAGCGAGGUCA